AUGCAACUAUCGUUAAUGUUAUGAAAUUACUUAUAUCUUGGGUUGCUUGAGAUUCAGCAAGCAAUUUUGUAAUCAGGUGAUAAUUUUGACCAAAUUUUUUGGUGUUGUAGAGUGGAAAACAUGAUCUUUUUGCUUUGUUGAUUGUCAAAUGGGCAGAGAAAUUAUUUGGAGAAAAAGAUAAAAAAGGAAUUAAUUCGAGGGAAUUUGUUUAUGAAAUGCAAUUCCUUGUUUGAUGUUGUACUAGUGUCUUUUGCAUUGCAGGCUUGAAUCUCGUAGGAAGAGACCUUUUGGCCCAAGGCCAAAUUAAAGAGGAAGCCGUGCAGUACCAGCUCAUUGAAGUACAAUGAUCAACCACAUCCAGAUUAUGGAAUGGAGGUUAUGUUCAAGUUUGCAGGGUUCGACCCAUUUGAGAGGUCAACCUAUUUUGGACCCUUCUUUGAUUUGGGAAAGUUUGAAGGAUUUAGGCGGAUUUUUCACCAUUCAACCUACCGUGUUUUGCUUGGGCAUAGAGAGAGCAAAAUCCUAAGCAGUUUGUUGGUGAAAGAGCUUUGAAUUUUCAGUGUUUAGUAACUAAAUGAUGUUCUAAUUUCAAGUGAGCUCACCAGUUGAUGCGUGCAUCAUGUCUAGACAUACUUUCUAAUCAAUUCAAGCAGCGAGUUUGGAUACGAGGAAAUCGCCCAGAGGAAGAAGAAAUAUUUCAAUUUACCAUGGUUCAGAGAGUUGGUGGUUCAUGGGAUGGUUAUUGGCUGACAGAGUCUCUUUUAAACGAUGGAGAUGCUUUUGUGGGUGGUCUAGCCUACUAAAUUGCAAAUGCAGAUGGGAAUGAGAUGAUGAACUACUUGCAGUCAUGUUGAAGAAUUUCAUUGUUUGCUUAUUCGACCUCAGAAUUGUGUACAUAUUGUAAUAAACUGAUGUUGUGCUGAGCUCAACUGAUUGUUGUAAAUGAAAGCUGUAUAUAUUAUUCUUAAGGGAAAGGGAUCAGUAUUUGCUUCU